GAUGAACGCUAGCUACAGGCUUAACACAUGCAAGUCGAGGGGUAGAAGUUGCUUGCAACUUUGAGACCGGCGCACGGGUGCGUAACGCGUAUGCAAUCUACCUUAUACAGAGGGAUAGCCCAGAGAAAUUUGGAUUAAUACCUCAUAGUAUAAUUGAAUGGCAUCAUUUAAUUAUUAAAGUUCCAACGGUAUAAGAUGAGCAUGCGUCCUAUUAGCUAGAUGGUAAGGUAACGGCUGACCAUGGCAACGAUAGGUAGGGGUCCUGAGAGGGAGAUCCCCCCCACAGGUACUGAGACACGGACCAGACUCCUACGGGAGGCAGCAGUGAGGAAUAUUGGACAAUGGGCGCAAGCCUGAUCCAGCCAUGCCGCGUGCAGGAAGAAGCAUCUAUGGUGUGUAAACUGCUUUUGUACGGGAAGAAACACUCCUUCGUGAAGGAGCUUGACGGUACCGUAAGAAUAAGGAUCGGCUAACUCCGUGCCAGCCGCCGCCGUAA
rnacentral:rRNA from 1 species